rnacentral:rRNA from 1 species
CCUACGGGGGCACCAGUGGGGAAUAUUGGACAAUGGGCGAAAGCCUGAUCCAGCAAUGCCGCGUGUGUGAAGAAGGUCUUCGGAUUGUAAAGCACUUUCGACGGGGACGAUGAUGACGGUACCCGUAGAAGAAGCCCCGGCUAACUUCGUGCCAGCAGCCGCGGUAAGACGGGGGGGGCAAGAGUUCUUCGGAAUGACUGGGCGUAAAGGGCACGUAGGCGGUGAAUCGGGUUGAAAGUGAAAGUCGCCAAAAACUGGCGGAAGACUCUCGAAACCAAUUCACUUGAGUGAGACAGAGGAGAGUGGAAUUUCGUGUGUAGGGGUGAAAUCCGGAGAUCUACGAAGGAACGCCAAAAGCGAAGGCAGCUCUCUGGGUCCCUACCGACGCUGGAGUGCGAAAGCAUGGGGAGCGAAUGGGAUUAGAUACCCUUGUAGUC